rnacentral:rRNA from 1 species
CACCCGAGGUAAAAAGAGCUAAGUGCAAGUAAUAAUUUAGAUUUAAAUUAAGCAGUGUGGUAUAAUUGUUAAUAAACUUACAUUUAGGUGUGAAAGACUUUCCAAUUUUUAUGAUAUCUGGAAAAUUAAGAAAUGUAUUUAGUACAUAUAAAAAAAUAUAAGAAUGAUAAGGUUUUUAUAUUAUAGUAAAAUUAAGAUAUUUCUGUUUAAUAUAUUAAUAAAAAAUUUAAUAUUAUAUUUAAACUAACAUUAUUAAUUAAUCUCUUCUUUAAAUUAUUAAUUUAUUUAUUUAUAAUAAUAACUAUUAAAUUAAUAUUGUUAAAAUUAGUAUAAAAAAAAAAAAUUUUAAAGGAACUUGGCAAUAUCAUUUCUCGACUGUUUAUCAAAAACAUAGCCUUAUGGUUAUUUAAUAUAAGGUGCUUUCUGCUCAAUGAUUUAAUUAAAUAGCCGCAGUACCCUGACUGUGCAAAGGUAGCAUAAUAAAUUGUCCUUUAAUUGGGGUCCUGAAUGAAGGAAAUAACGGGGAAAUACUGUCUUUAAAGAUUUUGUUCAAAAUUUAUUCUAUUAGGUGCAAAUUCCUAUAUAAAUAAUUGAAAGACGAGAAGACCCUAAGAGUUUUUUAUAUAUUAAAUUAUAUUUUUUUUAUUUUGUUGGGGCGACAUAUUAACAUAAAUAUUGUAUUAUAAAAUUUAUAUUUAAACUUAAUAAAAACUUAUUAUAUAUAAAGGAAUAAUGUCAAUAAUAAGUAAACUACCUUAGGGAUAACAGCAUAAUUAUUUAUUUAGAUUGUGACCUCGAUGUUGGAUUAGGUAAUUUUUAAAUCAAAAAUGUAAAAAAUUAGUUCUGUUCGAACAAUAAUAACCUACAUGAUCUGAGUUCAGACCGGCGUAAGCCAGGUCAGUUUCUAUCUUCUAAUUAGAAUAUGCGUGUACGAAAGGACAACAU